rnacentral:rRNA from 1 species
AGGAUUAGAUACCNUGGUAGUCCACGCUGUAAACGAUGUCGAUUUGGAGGUUGUGCCCUUGAGGCGUGGCUUCCGGAGCUAACGCGUUAAAUCGACCGCCUGGGGAGUACGGCCGCAAGGUUAAAACUCAAAUGAAUUGACGGGGGCCCGCACAAGCGGUGGAGCAUGUGGUUUAAUUCGAUGCAACGCGAAGAACCUUACCUGGUCUUGACAUCCACAGAACUUAGCAGAGAUGCUUUGGUGCCUUCGGGAACUGUGAGACAGGUGCUGCAUGGCUGUCGUCAGCUCGUGUUGUGAAAUGUUGGGUUAAGUCCCGCAACGAGCGCAACCCUUAUCCUUUGUUGCCAGCGGUCNGGCCGGGAACUCAAAGGAGACUGCCAGUGAUAAACUGGAGGAAGGUGGGGAUGACGUCAAGUCAUCAUGGCCCUUACGACCAGGGCUACACACGUGCUACAAUGGCAUAUACAAAGAGAAGCGACCUCGCGAGAGCAAGCGGACCUCAUAAAGUAUGUCGUAGUCCGGAUUGGAGUCUGCAACUCGACUCCAUGAAGUCGGAAUCGCUAGUAAUCGUAGAUCAGAAUGCUACGGUGAAUACGUUCCCGGGCCUUGUACACACCGCCCGUCACACCAUGGGAGUGGGUUGCAAAAGAAGUAGGUAGCUUAACCUUCGGGAGGGCGCUUACCACUUUGUGAUUCAUGACUGGGGUGAAGUCGUAA